rnacentral:misc_RNA from 1 species
AACAGAUAAUAAAUUGUAGAAUUUGCGAGAAGAAGACCAGUGGUAAUAUAAACCAAAAAUGGGUUGGGUUUGGAGAGACGACGAGCCUGCUGGUGAAAAUGAAAUUAGCGAAUAUUGGAAAAGCCCUGAUUCAUCCUGUGGGAAGGUUUGCUCCACGAGGAAGGUGGUGAAGUCGCAGUGCAAGACUGAGGAGGUGGAACCUGGAAAGUUCGUUAGGAAGUGCGAGAAAACUGAGGAGAUUCUCGGAGAGUGCCUUGGAGAGCCUGCUGAAGUGCUGAGGUCCAACAAGGAGUACACUGAAGACGAUGUCACAGACCUGGUGGUUAAAGGGUCUUCCUCAGUAGGCCAAUUUGAUAGCUCGCCAUUUGGCUUACCAGGUCUUCGAAGUGAUAUUGAAGGCAUUGAGCGCCAAUUCCUCGGUGGCAUCAAUCGAUUUUUUGAAGCAGCUGAACAGAUUAAGGGUAGCUUUUUCGAUGUUUUUGGGGACUUGCAUAAGGAGAAUCCAUCAUGCCCUCCAUCUAUGAGGCGAGGGAUACCUAUUGAUGACUAUCCCCAAAAAAGAGAGGCUUCUCCUAAACAAAGGGAGCCUGAUGCUGGUGAUGUUGAUCUUGCUGGUUUGGCCAGAGAUGUCUGAAUUAUUCUGUUAAUAAUCUAGUCGAGUAGACAAUUUCCCCUUUUAUAUGACUAGCGAAAUAUAGACUACCAAACUGCAGUUUUUGCACUGGAAUGUAAAGCCGGUUCUUGGAUGAGACUACGAAGUUGAUUCUCAUUGCUAAGUUGAAAUCAAGGAUUUGUAUUGAUAAUUCUAUUUAAUG